GCCCCAAGAUGGCCGCCCCAAUUCUCAUCAGCGCCAACAGGCAGCAGCGUUCGACGAGGCGUCUACUCUUUAUAUGUCUAUGGUUUCAGCAACCAGGGUCAGUAUCAGACUGGACUGGCAACGAGAUUUUUCUUCAAAGAUGGAUCAAUACCCACUGUCCGUGUCAACGCCACGGAAGAAGAAACUCCAAGCACAUCUGUACAGCAGUCUGUAGUGCAUCAUGUUGCCUGCCAGACAGACCAACCAGUGAAAUGCACGGUUGGCACACAGCUUUCCAUGAGAACUCGCCGGCCUCACUUCAGAGGCACAGACUCUACCUGGCUGCCCUGCAUUACAAUGAAAAUACUGACUGACCACAGGCAACAUCUACAGGUGUAGAGCUUCUGUACAGUCAACUUCCCCAAAUCUAAGCAUGGAGAAUGAACUGCAAAGCCUGUGAAAGCAGAGCCAACAUUCCACUACGUUGAUGCACUGUUGGACCUGAUCUUCAAGAAGGUUUUCCAGGACCCUGGCCCAUAUGUGAACAAGGUGCUGAAACUUACAAUCCCUGAAGACCUCUCGGCUCAGUAUGAAAGACCCAACAAGCUGGACGUUAUAGC